rnacentral:lncRNA from 1 species
AGCCAUUUUUUUUUGGUAAUCAAAUUUUGUUUGCAUCAUGUUCAAGCCACUUUUUUAUUACAUCAUGUUCAGCCAUCAAAUUUUGUUUGCAUUAACGGUAAUUUUCAGUUACUAAUUUCGUGACAGAGCGCAAGCAUAUAGUGAUUGAAUUCUUAUCGGUUUGAAAAUCAUGCAGACGAUGCGUCGGAGGUUUCAGUUAAGAAGAAUGAAAAAAACUCCCAAACAGAAAGAAUUGAUCUCUAGGAUUUGCUUGCUCACAUAGAGUGCUUUGAAAGAGUAGACAUUGUUCUUUGAUUUGAUUUCUGGAUUGUUCUUAGUUUUGUUUAUGUUUCUUCUUGGUUUUGGUCCAUUGUUAUGGAACUAUUCUCAACGUUACGGAACUCGACUGGAUUCAAUCACUGCCAUUAAUGUGAUUGAAGAAACAAUUCAAUUAUGCUCUUCAUAUUUCAGAGUCUGAACUUGGCACUUGAAUCUUCUUAUUGCUGAGUAAAAGUCACACCUUUAUUAAUAUAGAUAUUUCUGAAACAUUAAAGAGUUGCUUAUAUAUAGAUUUUAAAAAUAGUUGAAGAUGUGAAAGUGAGUAUAGUGGUGGGGAGGAGGAUUGGUUGCCUCCACCGAAAAAUGUUACUUCAGUAAAUUCAAAGAGUUCGAUGAAGAUUCAACCGUUAAAUCAUUGAGGUAGUUUUGCUCUGUUUUUCACAUUGCUCUGUUUUUUACAUUUUCAACAAAUGUCAUUCAUGAAACAAGCAAAAGUGAUCAAUGAAUUCCAAAAGCUUUGUGCACAACUGGACAUGACGUUAACACAAAGAUUAACUGUGUCAUGUUUGUUUUAUUUUUAGUGUUCCUAGAAAGAGAUGAUGGUAGAGGUAACUGAUGAAACACUUGACAAAGACAAGAUGAAAAUAAAACUGAAGAUCUCACUAAACUAUGUAGUUAUUUGCAUUUCAAUCACAAGAUUCAUACUCACACACUUUUCAUUGGUUUUCUUCAAGCUUCUUCUAACUAGCUCAUUACUUUUGUGUCGAUCUCAUAGGUUCUUGAUGAGAUUAGUAUUUGUGUUGCAUUUCAGGUUUGUUUUCUUAAAAAAGUUUUGUUAAAUAUGUCACGGAAAACAAUCCUAGGUGGUUUAACCUAAAACUUUAUUUCUUGCAAUCUACUGAAGUGGAUGAUCUAAAAAUGAGAUUGGCUUGCUACGACUAAUCUGAGAACAUGAAACUUCUUAGGUUUUCACCCAUCAAGCAGGUGCCUUAUCUGAGAAAUCAUGAUAACAUAUACUGACUUAAUAAACAAGUUAAAACUGGAUACGCAUUGUUUUGUUUUAACAUCUUCAACCUUGCAAAUAAAUCCCAUCCUGGUCUAAAUCAAAAGCCCCGAAGCUCCAACCAAGAGAGAUCAAAUUAAGAAAGGUUUAAUUUAUAAACAAUUAUUAUGUCAGAUUACAAGUAUACAAAGAUAAUGUUCGCUUACCUUUAAAAGUCUUUUCACUCUCUUUCUAAAUACGAACUAAACAUAAAUUAACAAAAAUUGAAAUAAAAUUGAAAUAUAUUUAUACGUUUGAUAAAUAUUUUUUAAUCAAACACCAAAAAUGGUUUUAAACUACUAAAACAUAUAUCAUUGUACAAAAACCCGG